rnacentral:rRNA from 1 species
UGUGUCUAAUCCGUCAUAGGUGAGGGCUCCUGGAACGGUUCCUCGCUCAAAAGGGAGCAGACCAUGCUCUGCCCACCGCCCCAGGAUGGGACUGCGCCCGGUUAGGUCGUAGGUGGUGUAACGGACCACCCAGCCCAUAUUCGGUACGGGCCAUGAGAGUGGGAGCCCGGAGAUGGGUACUGAGACAAGGACCCAGGUCUUACGGGGCAUAGCAAGCGCGGAAACUCCCCAAUACGCGAAAGCGUGAGGGGGUCAGCCAGAGUGCCAUCUGAAAGAUGGCUGUGGUCAAGCGUACAAAACUUGACUAAGAAAGUGGAGGGCAAGACUGGUGCCAGCCGCCGCGGUAAAACCAGCUCCGCGAGUGGCGGGGCCAAUUAUUUGGCUUAAAGCGUCCGUAGCCGGGCCCGCAAGUCCCCGGUCAAAUCUGGCGUCAUGAGCGUCAGGCCGCCGGGGAAACUGCAGGCCUUGGGACUGGAAGAGGCCGAAGGUACUGUAGGGGUAGGGGUGAAAUCCGCUGAUCCCUGCAGGACCACCGGUGGCGAAGGCGUUCGGCUGGAACAGGUCCGACGGUGAGGGACGAAAGCCAGGGGAGCAAACCGGAUUAGAUACCCGGGUAGUCCUGGCUGUAAACGAUGCGGGCUAGGUGUCGGGGUAGUAAAUGCUACCCCAGUGCCGUAGCGAAAGCGUUAAGCCCGCCGCCUGGGGAGUACGGCCGCAAGGCUGAAAUCCCAGAAAACCGAAAAAAACCGAAACGGUAAAACUUCCGGGACAGCAAACUUAAAGGAAUUGACGGGGGAGCACCACAAGGGGUGGAGCCUGCGGUUC